AUUAUAAAAUGGUGUAUAAUUAAGUUGUAUGAAAUUUAGGAUGAACCGAGGUCAACCACAUACAUUUUUCUAUAGCCGAGGGCUUAGAUUGUAAACUACGAUAACCAUAGGGUUAAAUUGUUGAAAAGAGUAAGUUCGAGUACUAAACAGCAAAGUCCAUUGGCCUAAUGGCCCGGUUCUAAAAUGCAGCAAGCCAGAGGGCUAAACGGCAGAGACCUGUUAAACUAUGGUUUACACAGAUAUUUUAAGGGACUUAUACUAGAUUAGGCUCGAAUCUAAGGGCUGAAUUGAAAAUCCACCAAAGAGAUAAGAAAUCCCCAAUUUCUUCUCCCGUGUGUGCUUCCUGGCCACUGGUAACUGCCGCCGCUCAGUGCGAACCGGCCGGUAGUUGCGCCACCGCCGCUGCUUGGGAAGCGAGGCCGUGUCGCACAGCGCCUGAGGGCACCGCCAUGCGCAGGAAACUGUGCCGCACCGGAGUACGUUGGCCGCCCACUCGCGUCGAGCGCCGAUGAUCUUCGGGUGCGGUUGCAGCGCCUUAGGUGGUCGCUCGGACGAGCGCUGGAGGAUGCCGCUGGGAAGGCCGGGGGCCUCUAGCCCCAGGUGCCCUCGUGCCAGGGGAAGCAGCGUCGGGCCGGCGUUGAGAACUUCGGCGUGGAGGUUAGUGCGUCUUGUGUGCAAGAGCAAAAAGAAUGGAAUAUGGUCACCUGAUGAUGUAGCAAUUAAGAUCGAGAGUUUGGUGUUUGUAUAAAUUAAUGCUUCAUCGUCUUGGAGAAGGGGCGGCCCAGAUCCUCGUUAUUUUUCAUGUGAUCCCCUUUUCUCUUCUUCUGUUCUUGGCCGAACUUGGUGUUUCGUCUGUGAGGACGAUUUUUCUCCUCAAUCCUCUGUCUUCUUUUUGGCCUACAGCAUGAAGAAUGAAAGUGAAUGGACGAACUAUUUUCCUGUGUGUUCGGAAAUUUGAAUCGGUGAAGGCUGAUGCCCCCUGUUUAUCCUCGUUCUUCUCUUUCCCUAUGCGAGUCGCUCGAUCGGAGAGCAAAGUGCAUGAUAACGUGUUAGAGAGAAUCGAGAGAGAGGAGCGAAUGGAAAAUAGAU
rnacentral:rRNA from 1 species